rnacentral:rRNA from 1 species
CGGGUGAGUAACACGUAUGCAACCUGCCUGCCACAGCCGGAUAAUCGGGAGAAAUUCCGUCUAAUACGGCAUAAUGCAUCGACGGGACAUCCUGUUGGUGCCAAAGGUUAAUUCCGGUGGCGGAUGGGCAUGCGUCGCAUUAGUUAGUUGGCGGUGUAACGGACCACCAAGACGACGAUCAGUAGCCGGCCUGAGAGGGUGGACGGCCACAUUGGGACUGAGACACGGCCCAAACUCCUACGGGAGGCAGCAG